GAGAAUUCAUGAGAAUGCAGUCUGAAAGAGAUGACUAUUCACAGAGGUUCAAUGCUUUACAGGAUCAACUGAGACAAAGAAUAUCAAUGGUUGGCUCAAUUAGGGUGAGCUGUUACUUUUGCAGCGGAGAGAUCAUCUUUCCCAAGAAACCUAGC